rnacentral:tRNA from 2 species
GGCGGAGUGGCCGAGCGGUCUAUGGCGGAGGAUUUAAGAAUUUUCUUAAUCUCCUCUUCUCGAAAGAGAGCGUGGGUUCGAACCCCACCUCCGUCA